rnacentral:rRNA from 1 species
UACGGGGGGGGCAAGCGUUGUUCGGAAUUACUGGCGUAAAGGGCUCGUAGGCGGCCAACUAAGUCGGAUGUGAAAUCCCCAGGCUUAACCCGGAACGGUCAGAUGAUACUGCUUUGCUAGAGUGCGGAAGGGGCAAUCGGAAUUCUUGGUGUAGCGGUGAAAUGCGUAGAUAUCAAGAGGAACACCUGAGGUGAAGACGGGUUGCUGGGCCGACACGUGACGCUGACAGCGCGAAAGCCAGGGGAGCAAACGGG